CAUAUGAGAGCUACCUGUUGGAUUUAAAUGUGGAUGAUUAGUUGUACAUUGAUUAUGAAUAAUUUGAUGUUAGAUAUAUAAGAGAGGUGAACCAUAUAUCUAACACUUUAAGAUUUUUGAUGAAAAUGUUGCUUUCGCGUCUCUCAUACUCCGUAACAAGUGAUAUCAAAACAAGGUGGGGGGAGAAAAACUUCUACAAUGUCAUACUUUAGUGUUUAUUAAUUCACUAUAUUUGCUUCUCUGUAGAUGUGGGAUAGCUUUAUCUUCCAUGGUCUUCUAAUCUAAUAGAAUAUAAAAGAUAUCAAUCCCUGAUGAUGAUUUUACAUCAUAUUACUAUUUGUGGAUGACAUGUUGACUAAUGGUCGUGAAAUUAGUAAGAUUCAAAGCCUAAAGAAUGAUUUAAGUAAGUCCUUUACAAGGAAGGACUUGGGUCUAGCGAAACAAAUUACUGGCAUGAGUUACUUGUGACAAGAAGGAUGUUAAAUUGUGGUAGUCUCAACACAAUUACCACCACAAUGUAUGUUUUGAUGGUAAAGUGUGAUUAUAUGUCUCUCUUAAUAAAGGAUUAGUGUGUUUGGUGUAUGUAAAAACUAAGUUUAGUUUAGAUGAUCUAAUUAGUCUUCUUUCAAUAAUCUUCAAUGUCUUUUGGAUCAGAGAAAAUCACUUUUGAAACAUGAAUAAUUUUAGUUACAUAAUAGAAUCAUGUUUAUAACUGAUGAAAGUUUUUUUUUUUUUGAAGCACUAAUGAAAAUGCAUUAAAAUAAGUUUCUAAGUCAUUUUGGAUAUCAUGAUUUGAGUCAUGCUUAGGUUGAGUGCAAUUUAAAGUUUUUCGUAGGUGCAUGAUUAAAAUCAUGCGCACUAUAGAGUAAUAUUUUUUUUUUUUUUUGUGAUGAUUCGAAUCAAGAUAUAAGGGUGUCAAUUUCUAAGAUAAAAUGGAACUUUGAAUUUACUCCUUUUUGUGUAUCUUGCUAAAGGGAAAUUCAAAUUACUUUGAAGGGUAAUUCAAAUUAACUUUGUUAUAAUGUUGAUUUGAAUCAUGUUACUUGGGAUUCUAAUGAUGCCUACAAAAUUUCAUUUUUUUAAUGCAUUUAACUUCCUCGUAUAGUCUCUUCUUUAUGCCACACCGAUUCAUUUACACAUUCAUUAUCGAUAAUUCCCAUUCAUUAGAAAGGCAAAAUUGAAAACUCUUUGACUCAAUUUCAUCAAGUGAUUCAUUGUGAUAUAGACUUAGAUAAGUUUUUUUUUGUCUGUGAGUGUUCGUGAGUGUACAUUGAAGAUUUUUCAAUCAUACUUUAGAGUUUUGGAAAAGAAGAAUAUUAUUUUCACUUAUAUAUAAUCAUAAUUUAUAGGUUUUAGAUAGUGAUCAACUCAUGUUGUGAGAUGCUAACUCAAUUAGGAAUUGAAGAUUCAAGAUUAGCGUUGAUGAAAUCAAGGAGAAGAACAAAGAUCAUAUUUUGAAGGGAUUUUCAAAAUCUAGGGUUUCUUGGAUAUGUUAGAUAUUGAAGGAAUUGAAGGCUUAAAUAUGAAAAUUGUCCCAGCAAAUAUCUGACAUUUUGGUUUUAGUCCCUGUAAAAAUAUUUUUUUUGGUUUUAGUCCCUGCAAAUAUAAAAAAUUUGGUUUUGGUCCUUGGUAUUUUAUUUUAGUCCUUGUAAAAUUGAUUCAUAUUGGAUUUGGUCCUUGUAAUAUGUAGAAUAUUUGAUUUUAGUCCUUCAAAAUGAGGACUAAAAUGAAUAUUAUAGGGACCAAUUUCAAUAUGAAAUGAUUUUACAAGGAUUAAAACAAAAUACCAAGGACCAAAACCAAAUAUUCUAUAUUUGCAUGGACUAAAACCAAAAAAAUAUUUUUAUAGGGACUAAAUCCAAAAUGCCAGAUAUUUACAGGGACCAUUUCCAUAUUUAAGCCGGAAUUGAAUUACAACGUUAUAGAAUCAUAGGGCUGAAGGAAUUUCUGAUUGUAAUUUGUAACCAUUCCAUUCAAACAUUCAUAGUGAAAAUGGAAGAAAUUCUAUAACAUAUCCAUUGGUUAGAAAAUUAAAACUUGAAUUUAGGGUUAACCUUGAAUUUUACAAUAAAGGUGGCUGUUUGAUUAUAAAUAAAGUUUUCGUUGUUUCAACCUAUCCUAAGAUGAAUGUUAUGAACGAUAACAGCCAGUUAUUUUGGUGGAGCUAUAACCUUGAGCAACACAAACAAAUCGAUACUCUCAAAGAAACAAAGAA
rnacentral:lncRNA from 1 species